CCUACGGGUGGCAGCAGUGAGGAAUAUUGGUCAAUGGACGAGAGCCUGAACCAGCCAAGUAGCGUGAAGGAUGACUGCCCUAUGGGUUGUAAACUUCUUUUAUAUGGGAAUAAAAUGUUCCACGUGUGGGUUUUUGUAUGUACUUUAUGAAUAAGGAUCGGCUAACUCCGUGCCAGCAGCCGCGGUAAUACGGAGGAUCCGAGCGUUGUCCGGAUUUAUUGGGUUUAAAGGGAGCGUAGGUGGGUUGUUAAGUCAGUUGUGAAAGUUUGCGGCUCAACCGUAAAAUUGCAGUUGAAACUGGCAGCCUUGAGUACAGUAGAGGUAGGCGGAAUUCGGGGUGUAGCGGUGAAAUGCUUAGAUAUCACGAAGAACUCCGAUUGCGAAGGCAGCUCACUGAACUGCAACUGACACUGAGGCUCGAAAGUGUGGGUAUCAAACAGGAUUAGAUACCCCAGUAGUC
rnacentral:rRNA from 1 species